rnacentral:rRNA from 1 species
AACGAACGCUGGCGGCAGGCCUAACACAUGCAAGUCGACCGCUGUAGCAAUACAGAGUGGCAGACGGGUGAGUAACACGUGGGAAUCUUCCUAUCGGUACGGAAUAGCUCAGGGAAACUUGGGGUAAUACCGCAUACGCCCUUCGGGGGAAAGAUUUAUCGCCGAUAGAUGAGCCCGCGUCUGAUUAGCUAGUUGGUGAGGUAAUGGCUCACCAAGGCGACGAUCAGUAGCUGGUCUGAGAGGAUGACCAGCCACACUGGGACUGAGACACGGCCAAGACUCCUCCGGGGGGCAGCAGUGGGGAAUGUUGGACAAUGGGCGCAAGCCUGGUCCAGCCAUGCCGCGUGAGUGACGAAGGUCUUCGGAUUGUAAAGCUCUUUUGGCGGGGACGAUAAUGACGGUACCCGCAGAAUAAGCCCCGGCUAACUUCGUGCCAGCAGCCGCGGUAA